GAAUUCGCCCUUAGAGUUUGAUCCUGGCUCAGGACUAACGCUGGCGGCGUGCCUAAUACAUGCAAGUCGAACGGUCGUGCGCUUGUAGCAAUAUGGACGUACGAUAGUGGCGAACGGGUGAGUAACACGUGGAAAACCUACCCUCGAGCGGGGGAUAACUCCGGGAAACUGGGGCUAAUACCGCAUGACAUCCCAACCUGGCAUCGGGAGGGGAUCAAAGCCGAAAGGCACUUGAGGAUGGUUCCGCGGCCUAUCAGCUAGUUGGCGGGGUAACGGCCCACCAAGGCGACGACGGGUAGCCGGCCUGAGAGGGCGAUCGGCCACAAGGGGACUGAGACACGGCCCCUACUCCUACGGGAGGCAGCAGUAGGGAAUUUUGCUCAAUGGGGGAAACCCUGAAGCAGCGACGCCGCGUGGGCGACGAAAUCCUUCGGGAUGUAAAGCCCUUUUAACCGGGACGAAAUACAUGACGGUACCGGUGGAAUAAGCCUCGGCUAACUCCGUGCCAGCAGCCGCGGUAAGACGGGGGAGGCAAGCGUUGUCCGGAAUCACUGGGUGUAAAGGGCGUGUAGGCGGGCCGGCUAGUCGGUUGUUAAAUCUCUCCGCUCAACGGAGAAGCUGCGGCCGAUACUUCCGGUCUUGAGUGCGGCAGGGGAGGAUGGAAUUCCUGGUGUAGCGGUGAAAUGCGUAGAUAUCAGGAGGAACACCGGUGGCGAAGGCGGUCCUCUGGGCCUGCACUGACGCUGAGCGCGCGAAAGCUGGGGUAGCAAACAGAAUUAGAUACUCUGGUAGUCCCAGCCCUAAACG
rnacentral:rRNA from 1 species